rnacentral:rRNA from 1 species
GACGAACGCUGGCGGCGUGCUUAACACAUGCAAGUCGAACGGAAAGUUCCUGCUUUUGUGGGGUGCUCUAGUGGCGACCUGGUGAGUAACCCUUGAGUUACCUGUCCCUCACUUUGGGAUAACCUCAUGCAACUUGGUCUCAUCCCGCAUAGGAUCUCCUGCUUCUUGGUGGGGGCUGGUAAGUUUCGGCGGUUGGUGAUGUACUCGCGGCUUAUCAGCUUGGUGGUUGGGUAGUGGCUUACCAAGGCUUUGACGGGUAGCCGGCCUGAGAGGGUGACCGGACACAUUGGGACUGAGAUACGGCACAGACUACUACGGGAGGCAGGAGUGGGGAAGAGUGUACAAUGGGAGGAAGCAUGAUGCAGCAAAGCAGUGUGGGGGAUGAGAGGAUGGGGGUUGGAAACCGAUUUCGCCUGUGACGAAGCGUGAGUGACGGUAAUGGGUAAAGAAGCACCGGCUAACUACGUG